rnacentral:rRNA from 1 species
UCGCCCGCCGCGCGCGGCGGGCGGGGCGGGGGCACGGGGGGCCUACGGGAGGCAGCAGUGAGGAAUAUUGGACAAUGGGCGCAAGCCUGAUCCAGCAAUGCCGCGUGGGUGAAGAAGGUCUUCGGAUCGUAAAGCCCUUUCGACAGGGACGAUGAUGGCGGUACCUGUAGAAGAAGCCCCGGCUAACUUCGUGCCAGCAGCCGCGGUAAUA